AUUGAACGCUGGCGGCAUGCCUUACACAUGCAAGUCGAACGGUAACAGGUCUUUCGGGAUGCUGACGAGUGGCGAACGGGUGAGUAAUACAUCGGAACGUGCCUAGUAGUGGGGGAUAACUACUCGAAAGAGUGGCUAAUACCGCAUGAGAUCUAUGGAUGAAAGCAGGGGACCUUCGGGCCUUGUGCUACUAGAGCGGCCGAUGGCAGAUUAGGUAGUUGGUGGGAUAAAAGCUUACCAAGCCUACGAUCUGUAGCUGGUCUGAGAGGACGAUCAGCCACACUGGGACUGAGACACGGCCCAGACUCCUACGGGAGGCAGCAGUGGGGAAUUUUGGACAAUGGGCGCAAGCCUGAUCCGGCAAUGCCGCGUGCAGGAUGAAGGCCUUCGGGUUGUAAACUGCUUUUGUACGGAACGAAAAGUCUUGGGUUAAUACCCUGGGAUCAUGACGGUACCGUAAGAAUAAGCACCGGCUAACUACGUGCCAGCCGCCGCCGUAA
rnacentral:rRNA from 1 species